rnacentral:rRNA from 1 species
AUUGAACGCUAGCGGCAUGCCUUACACAUGCAAGUCGAACGGCAGCACGGGGGCAACCCUGGUGGCGAGUGGCGAACGGGUGAGUAAUGCAUCGGAACGUGCCCAUCGAUGGGGGAUAACUGCGCGAAAGCGUUGCUAAUACCGCAUACGACCUACGGGUGAAAGCAGGGGACCGCAAGGCCUUGCGUUGAUGGAGCGGCCGAUGCCGGAUUAGCUAGUUGGUGAGGUAAAGGCUCACCAAGGCGACGAUCCGUAGCUGGUCUGAGAGGACGACCCAGCCACACUGGGACUGAGACACGGCCCAGACUCCUACGGGAGGCAGCAGUGGGGAAUCUUGGACAAUGGGCGAAAGCCUGAUCCAGCAAUGCCGCGUGUGGGAAGAAGGCCUUCGGGUUGUAAACCACUUUUGGCGGGAAAGAAAUGGUCUGUGCUAAUACCACGGAUUGAUGACGGUACCCGCAGAAUAAGCACCGGCUAACUACGUG